UCACUGUUUAAGAAAAGUGAAUUCUCUAGUG
rnacentral:piRNA from 2 species